rnacentral:lncRNA from 1 species
AUGGCCAGUGUGCGAUUAUAAUGUUUGAUGUAACCUCAAGGUUGACUUACAAGAAUGUUCCUACAUGGCAUAGGGACCUGUGCAGGUUUGUUUCAAUCUUUCUGUGUCAUACAACUUGCACUUUGAUGUAUAAUGUUGGGGGAUUCUGAUGUUCAAUUAUGAAUUCUUGCAGGGUGUGUGAAAACAUCCCCAUUGUCCUGUGCGGUAACAAGGUUGAUGUGAAGAACAGGCAGGUCAAGGCCAAGCAGGUCACCUUCCACAGGAAGAAGAACCUGCAGUACUAUGAGAUUUCUGCCAAGAGCAACUAUAACUUUGAGAAGCCUUUCCUUUACCUUGCAAGGAAGUUGGCUGGGUAACUAACUAAUUACUUUAAUUUUUCGCAUCUUGAGGUUACAGCAAAUACCUACAUAUAUUAAUUAUUGUCGAUGGCUUUGGUCCUAUCAGCGAUCCCAACCUCCACUUUGUUGAAGCCGUUGCUCUUAAGCCUCCGGAAGUUACCAUUGAUAUGGCUAUGCAGCAACAGUGAGUGUCCACCUUUGUUCUUAUCUACUGUCAUUUUUAUGCACAUCCAAAAUCAGUCACCUUGAUAUUAAGUGUUUCAAGAACUGAUUCUCUUCUCAUUUUGAUUGCAGGCAUGAAGCUGAGCUUGCUGCAGCGGCCGCACAACCUCUUCCUGAUGACGAUGACGAUCUGAUUGAGUAGAAAGUGGAUCAUGAGUCUCAGACCUGAGCAGACGGAGUUGUGCCCUUGCAUAAGAGUUGUUUUAGAACGAACUCUCUAGAGUUAGCGUUGUCUAAAUCUGGAUCUUUUCUGUCUCGAGACGUGUUGCAACUUUUCAAUGUGUUGACAUCGCUGGACUUGUUGCCAUGAAUUUGCUGGCUCCUUUAUACAUUGCUUUGUUACUCUGGUUGUUGAUGGUAAACUUUGCUGUGGCCGUUGCUUUGUACUGUCUUGAUUAUCUAUCUGCUGUAUCAUAU